rnacentral:misc_RNA from 1 species
GAAAUGCGAAAAGUAGUGUGAAUUGCAGAAUUCAGUGAAUCAUCGAAUCUUUGAACGCACAUUGCGCCCCUUGGUAUUCCAUGGGGCAUGCCUGUUCGAGCGUCAUUUGUACCCUCAAGCUCUGCUUGGUGUUGGGUGUUUGUCCCGUUUCACGCGUGGACUCGCCUUAAAGCAAUUGGCAGCCGGCAUACUGGCCUUGGAGCGCAGCACAAUUUGCGCUUCUUGCCCUGAAUGUCAGCGUCCAUCAAGUCUACAUUUUUACUCUUGACCUCGGAUCAGGUAGGGAUACCCGCUGAACUUAA